rnacentral:rRNA from 1 species
AAAAAGCUCGUAGUUGGAUUUCGGAACCGGCCGAUUGGUCCGUCCUCUGGAUCGUGUACUGAUCGGUCUGUUCUUCUUCGCGAAGACCGCGUGUGCUCUUAACUGAGUGGGCGUGGGAUUCGCGACGUUUACUUUGAAAAAAUUAGAGUGUUCAAAGCAGGCAGUCGCUUGAAAAUCUCAGCAUGGAAUAAUAGAAUAGGACUUUGGUCUUAUUUUGUUGGUUUCCGAGACCGAAGUAAUGAUUAAUAGGGACAGUUGGGGCAUUCGUAUUUCAUUGUCAGAGGUGGAAUUCUUGGAUUUAUGAAAGACGAACUUCUGCGAAAGCAUUUGCCAAGGAUGUUUUCAUUAAUCAAGAACGAAAGUUGGAGGCUCGGAGACGAUCCAGAUACCGUCCUAGUUCCCAACCAUAAACGAUGCCGUCUGCGGAUCGGAGGUCGCCUCAUGUAAGGCUCCUUCGGCACGCUAUGAGAAAUCAAAGACUUCGGGUUCCCGGGGGGAGUAUGUUCGCAAGAAUGAAACUUAAAGGAAUUGACGGAAAGGCACCACCAGGAGUGGAACCUGCGGUUUAAUUUGACUCAACACGGGAAAACUCA